CAUUCCCAGGGCACAUCCCAUCGCUUCAAAAUGGGCCAGUCCAACCCAGUUUCCUGAACAAAAUUACCAAAGGGUAUUCGUAACUUGCUCUGUUUUUUGGUGCAGAAAACAGGGGCAAUCCGUGAGGUUGAGGGUGCUAUUUUCAGAUGUGUAGGGUGCUGCAAGGCGGGAUCGUCCGUUCCGGUUGAUGUCGAUAGCAGCCUCGUAGUCUAUGUAUAGCAAACCUGGUGAUUCUCGGCCACUUCGCACCGUUGGUGGAAGAGACAGUUGGACUUCCAACAUGUUGCAGAUCUUCGGUGAAGUCGAAGACUUUGUUUCACCGCUUGAUGUAUAAUAGAGGCGUUUCACAUCUAGACAACUCUUCAUACGUAUAAUAGCGGUGUUCCACAUCUGACUUUGUUUCACCGCUUGAUGUUUCAGAUCACCUCUCUCAUUUCACUUGGUGGAAAGAACUCCACAGUUUGUUGUUCAAGCUUAUAUGGUCGGGCCAAAGAAUGCGAAUCUUCAGGAGACAGGUCUAUUGAAGAUCAGCUAUUGUGAUGUUUAUUUACUAGGAACUCUUCAUGUUCUUAUUUAUGUUUUACUAUUUUAAGCUUUCCUAUUAUUAGCUUGUGUUGGAAGUUGUAUUUCUGUUUUUAAUGAAGUUUGUAAGUCUCAAUGUAAGCUUAUAUAAACGUGCUCAAUGGAAGAUGAAUAGCAGAACCAUAGAAUCAAUCCAUGAACAAUUGGG